AGCCCACCAAGCGAACCUCUCAGGAGUCAGGCCCUCGCCCAGACGCUCCAGGUGGAGCUCACAGCACCGUGAAGUCAGCGUUCCCAUUUUGCAGAUGAGGAAACAGAGGCCUAAUGAAGUCAGAUAAUUGGCCCAGAAAGACAGUGGAGCUGGGAUUCGAACAGAUCUCAUUAGGCACCAAAGCUGGCUUAAUGCGUAGCAUGACACUGGCUGUCCUUUCCUUGUUUAUCCAGCCGGGAAACUGAGGCCCAGCAUGGCACAUGGCCUGGCAUGGCUGCUGGGACUGGGUCUUAAGGCCGAGAGAGAACUGGGGAGCUGCCCAGAGAUUCACACUUUGGGCCUGUCCCCUCCACGGACGGAAAAUCCUUCAGAGACAAAAGGCAGCCCCAAAUGAAAGGACUCACUCUAAUGGCGUUUCUGAACCCAGAUGGCCCUGGGUUCAGAAUCCUGCCCGCUUUCCCUGAGCUAUGAGACCCUGAACAAGCCCCCUAAGCCCCGGUCACCCUGUUUGUAAAGUGGGUGCAACAGUGCCUUCCUCGCCAGGCUAUUGUGAGAUUCCCAGAGGUGGGGGCACUUCGUCGCUGAGCCCUGGGCCUGGCACACAGGAAGUGCUCCUCAGCAGUGCUCCCUGAGCCUGGAGACAAGCCCAGAACGGUCCCUUGUUCAUUCUGCAAACACCCGUCCCCACCCGUGCUGUGAACAAGGCCCAUUGAGCUCUCUUGAGGAGGAGAGGCUGCAGGUGGACAUGCCCACGAACUUGUAGGAAACGGCCAGGGAGAGGACAUCUGCAGGAGCCACAGAUACAGCGCUCCAGCCAGGACUCCCCCGGGCUCCUGGCUCCGGGAUGUCUAGUGAGCAGCUCAGACUCCACGCAUCCAACACUGGGCUCUGGGCUCUACUCCUUCUCCGCCAACUGCUCCUGCCUCAGUCCGUCAUCUCAGACACUGACAGCUCCCUCCUCCGUGGCUCAAGCCUUGAGGAAGUUCCAAAGGCCCAUUGCUUGGAAUAGUGCCUGGCCCCUGGUAGGCAUUCCAUAUGUUUAUGCGAUAAAUGAACGCCUUAACCAUUGGGCUGCACAGCUUGAGGUGACAUAGGCUGUGGUUCUGAGUCCCCAGGUGUGGGUGUUGGGGGCCCCUGAGCCCAGGGACAGGGUCUCUGAAGAGGGGGAAUGACUCCCCAUGGGGAUAGGGAGCUCACAGGGGUCAGUGGUCCCUCCAGACUCCGUUCUAGAGGAGCAAAGCCCCGCACAGUCUCCCUCUCUUUCCCCAGGGGGUGGCCCGGCAGCUGCUGCCUCCUGGGGAAGUGGGCCUGCCUGGUGAACCCACUCCCAAGGUCGAGGGACCCUGAAGGCCACCUCGGAGGCAGGAGACCCCGCACCAGAACCCAGGAGGGGGGCAGACGCAGGAGAGGCAGGCGGGGCUCUGACCCGGUUCCCCCGCUCGCUGUGUGACGGGGUGGGGGUGGGGGAGCCACACCACCUCUCUGCGUCUGCUGCCACAGAAGGAGGCCCUGUGCUCUAGGCUGCAGGCUGUGCAGGUCCAGGAGGGCUCUGGCCCCACCCUCCGAAGCCCCCCCACCGUGGAGCCGCCAGGCCUUCCUGUUUACUCGAGGCCCCUCUGGAGGCUGGGAGGCGACAGCCUUGGCCUCUUCUGCUCCCCGCUUCCUUCCUCUCCCACUUCAGCGCCUCCGGCCAGGCCCUCAGGGCCCCCGGGGGCGGAGGCUUAGGGGCUGAGUCCAGUGGGGGCAUCUGAGGCCACCACCCCGGAGGGCCUCCCGAGGAGCACGCUCUCUCUCUGAGACCCUGAGGUCACAGAGGCGCGCGGCCGUCCCUCUGCUGGCUAGAAGGUUCCGGCACCUUGGGACAGCCAUUUCCUGGAGUGCCGCUGGAGACAUGAAGACUAUGACAGCACCGCCCGUCCGGAUCCGACACCACGCCCACCUCUCAGCCCACCAGUAGGGGAUGAGCACACGCUGACCUUAGAGGCGCCCCCUCCUCCCCACCCUUCCUCCCCUUCCCCGGCUCCCGCCUCUCUGAGCUGCCCAGUGUGGGCCUCGGCCCAGCGGCCCAGCCAGGCCUCACCACCCAAACCGACCCGCUGCAUCAGAGGCAGCUUUUGAGCGAGACCCUGCGGGGAUUCGUGUGCACGUAGAGCCAGAUGCGGCCCCUCUGACCGUCCCGCCUGGUUUUAAAGCCCUUCGUGAGCCUCAGCUAUUCGGUAUUCUUGUCCCAAAGGCUUAUCCUGAACGUCUGACGCCCGUACACUAACUUCAGGGUACAGGAAACGGGGAACGGAGGAACAAGUCCAGGGACACCACAAGGGAGCCACAGGCACAGGGAGGAGGAAUUUUCUGGGGGACCACGGUCCGUCACAGGUCAAUCUCAAAGAGAGGGGGUGAGUCAGAGGUUAACGUUCGACGGGCGGCACAGAGGCCACGUGUGGUCCCGGAUUGCCUCCCGGUUUUCGCAAAGACACACUUUGGGGGAAACGACAUGUGGACUGAGAAGUACCUAUGAUACUAGUGUUAACCGAGUGUCAUCGAAACUGAGUUGUGGUUAAACAGCAAAAUGUCCUCACUUAUUAGUCAUACCGAAGUCCCACUUUCGGAACGAACUUUUUUCAUAUCUGUAACUUACUUUAAAAUAGUCUGACAACAAUAAACCAGCCGUGAAGGAAGUAUGGAAAAAUGUGGGUGAUGGUAUAUGGGUGUUCAUUAUAUUAUUUCCUCAAAUUUUGUUUGAAAAUUUUUAUUACAAACAAAACUUUCUGCCCU